AAACAGACUCUGAUGUUAAACGUGGGUUGACUUUCACUUCAUUCUCUUUCUCUGUAGCCUGGUUUUGUGAACUUACUGGACUACCCAGAACCGGACGUGUGCCUAAGGACGUCCAAAUUCAAUAAAAUCUAACAGAAUACGUGAUCAUUGGCUGGACAAUCCUGGACUUUGACAGACUGGCGGUUAAGAAAAGACAUGGCUCAGCUGUGUCUGCACAAGAGGAACAUUACCACCCCCUGUUACUAAAUAUGAUUUGUGAAGGAAGCUGAGCCAAGUGCCUCCCGUCCAGGGGUUAAUGAUGUUGCUUUUCUUUCUGGGUUUGUUUCCUCUCCUUCUCCUUCCUCUCUCAGGGUUUUCUUCAUCGUCUAGUCCCGUGAAGAAUCAUCAAGGUGGUUGUUGCGUACACUUAUCUUCAGACGGCAUCCUUCGACUGUCAAGUCAGAAAGCGUGCAUGUGUAUAGAGGUCACCGUCUGAAUAUGUAAUAGAAGCAGACAUUCCUGGAGAUACAGUUAACAGGACUCAGCGGGGGUUGAGAGUGUUGCAGUAAUCAGGGUUGAGAUGGUGCUUGUUAUAUUGGGCAACUUGCUGGUGGUGGCACAAAUGGAGUGAGUGUGCCUGCAAUUUAAUGUCUGCUGAGUGAGAGUGGUGGUGAGGUGAGAUGGCAGUGGCCCGUAAGCAAUUCCUUGCAGGUUGAUUUUAGUUACCGUGAACAUUUGUAUCCUGUUAGAAAUUCAAAUGAACCAUUUAUAUAUUCACCUUGCCCUCCACCAACAUCUUAUCUAGCCGUCCCUGGUGACAUGUUGCCUGAGGUGUUGACCCCUGUGAAUUGAUCUCUAAGAGAUCCCUUUUCCCCAAGGUGUUAUUCACCCUGCAGGGCAUUAAUGUUAGGUUCCAUAUUACAACUGUAAUGGCCUGGUAUAAUGGGAUAACAGUACAUAUACAGUAUCAGUCAAAAGUUUGGACACACCUACUCAUUCAAGGGUUUUUCUUUAUUUUUACUAUUUUCUAUAUUGUAGAAUAAUAAUGAAGACAUCAAAACUAUGAAAUUACACAAAUGGAAUCAUGUAGUAACCAAAAAAGUGUUAAACAAAUCAAAAUAUAUUUUAGAUUUUAGAUUCUUCAAAGGCUGCUUUUCCUUCACUCUGCGGUCCAACUCAUCCCAAACCAUUUCAAUUGGGUUGAGGUCGGGUGAUUGUGGAGGCCAGGUCAAAUAAAGGUAAAGGAAAAAUAAAGGUAAAAUAAAGAAAAAAAUCUGAUGCAGCACUCCAUCACUCUCCUUCUUGGUCAAAUAUUCCUUACACAGCCUGGAAGUGUGUUGGGUCAUUGUCCUGUUGAAAAACAAAUGUUAGUCCCACUAAGCACAAACCAGAUGGGAUGGCGUAUCGCUGCAGAAUGCUGUGGUAGCCAUGCUGGUUAAGUGUGCCUUGAAUUCUAAAUAAAUCACAGACAGUUUCACCAGCAAAGCACCCCCACACCAUCACGCCACCUCCUCCAUGGUUCACGAUGGAAACCACACAUGCAGAGAUCAUCCGUUCACCUACUCUGCGUCUCACAAAGAUACGGCGGUUGGAACCAAAAAUCUCACAUUUGGACUCAUCAGACCAAAGGACAGAUUUCCACCAGUCUAAUGUCCAUUGCUCGUGUUUCUUGGCCCAAGCAAGUCUCUUCUUCUUAUUGGUGUCCUUUAGUAGGGGUUUCUUUGCAGUAAUUUGACCAUUUAAGGCCUGAUUCACACACUCUCCUCUGAACAGUUGAUGUUGAGAUGU
rnacentral:lncRNA from 1 species